rnacentral:rRNA from 1 species
UACGUAGGGUGCGAGCGUUGUCCGGAAUUAUUGGGCGUAAAGAGCUUGUAGGUGGCUCGUCGCGUCGGGAGUGAAAACCCGCGGCUUAACCGCGGGCCUGCUUUCGAUACGGGCGGGCUAGAGUUCGGCAGGGGAGACUGGAAUUCCUGGUGUAGCGGUGGAAUGCGCAGAUAUCAGGAGGAACACCGGUGGCGAAGGCGGGUCUCUGGGCCGAUACUGACGCUGAGGAGCGAAAGCGUGGGGAGCAAACAGG